AACGAACGCUGGCGGCAGGCUUAACACAUGCAAGUCGAACGCCCCGCAAGGGGAGUGGCAGACGGGUGAGUAACGCGUGGGAAUCUACCCAGUUCUACGGAACAACUGAGGGAAACUUCAGCUAAUACCGUAUACGCCCUACGGGGGAAAGAUUUAUCGGAAUUGGAUGAGCCCGCGUUGGAUUAGCUAGUUGGUGGGGUAAUGGCCUACCAAGGCGACGAUCCAUAGCUGGUCUGAGAGGAUGAUCAGCCACACUGGGACUGAGACACGGCCCAGACUCCUACGGGAGGCAGCAGUGGGGAAUAUUGGACAAUGGGCGAAAGCCUGAUCCAGCCAUGCCGCGUGAGUGAUGAAGGCCCUAGGGUUGUAAAGCUCUUUCAGUGGGGAAGAUAAUGACGGUACCCACAGAAGAAGCCCCGGCUAACUUCGUGCCAGCCGCCGCAGUAACAC
rnacentral:rRNA from 1 species